rnacentral:rRNA from 1 species
CACCUACGGGGCGCAGCAGUGGGGAAUAUUGCACAAUGGGGGAAACCCUGAUGCAGCGACGCCGCGUGAAGGAUGAAGUAUUUCGGUAUGUAAACUUCUAUCAGCAGGGAAGAAAAUGACGGUACCUGACUAAGAAGCCCCGGCUAACUACGUGCCAGCAGCCGCGGUAAUACGUAGGGGGCAAGCGUUAUCCGGAUUUACUGGGUGUAAAGGGAGCGUAGACGGCGGCGCAAGUCUGAAGUGAAAGCCCGUGGCUCAACCGCGGAACCGCUUUGGAAACUGCGAGGCUGGAGUGCUGGAGAGGG